rnacentral:rRNA from 1 species
GAUGAACGCUAGCGGGAGGCCUAACACAUGCAAGCCGAGCGGUAUUUGUUCUUCGGAACAGAGAGAGCGGCGCACGGGUGCGGAACACGUGUGCAACCUGCCUUUAUCUGGGGGAUAGCCUUUCGAAAGGAAGAUUAAUACCCCAUAAUAUAUUGAGUGGCAUCAUUUGAUAUUGAAAACUCCGGUGGAUAGAGAUGGGCACGCGCAAGAUUAGAUAGUUGGUGAGGUAACGGCUCACCAAGUCAAUGAUCUUUAGGGGGCCUGAGAGGGUGAUCCCCCACACUGGGACUGGGACACGGACCAGACUCCUACGGGAGGCAGCAGUGAGGAAGAUUGGACAAUGGGUUAGCGCCUGAUCCAGCCAUCCCGCGUGAAGGACGACGGCCCUAUGGGUUGUAAACUUCUUUUGUAUAGGGAUAAACCUACUCUCGGGAGAGUAGCUGAAGGUACUAGACGAAUAAGCACCGGCUAACUCCGUG